CCUGCUAGAUACAGGAGACGACGUGAAGAAAAGGAAAGCCAACGGAGAGAGAGUGUUGUGCACCAAUGGAAUGAGUUCCCUGGCUGUUGAAGAGAGUCAGGCAGUAUAAUCCUGUGCUGCUGGCUUUGUGGACCCCUGGAUGUUUGGAAGUGCUGGCAAGUAGCACCAGCUGUCAAUCUGCAAAUCUAUGGGAGAUCUGUGUUUAAUUUGCGUGAGGCGACUCUGCCAGACCAGAAAGAGGGAGAUAAAAAGAGAGGGAAGUGAAGAAAAAUAGAGAAAGGGAGGUGAAGCCAGUACUUUUGUCUGUGUGUUUGAGCAGUGAGGAGCGGGGCUUGUGUUCCUGGCCUCGGGUGUGAAUUCGGAGGUUGUUUUUGAUGUCAUGAGAUCUCUAUGUUCCAGAGUGUCAAAGAUUCUGUGUGAGUCAACACUGUGAUAGUAGAGAGAGAGUGGUCUGUCUGUCUGUCUGUCUGUCUGUCUGUCUGUCUGUCUGUCUGUCUGUCUGUCUGUCUGUCUGUCUGUCUGUCUGUCUGUCUGUCUGUCUGUCUGUCUGUCUGUCUGUCUGUCUGUCUGUCUGUCUGUCUGUCUGUCUGUCUGUCUGUGCACGUGCGCGUGUGAGCAUACAGUGCAUCUAGAUCUAAUUUUAUAUCAACCAGAAGCCUAGUAGACAUUACAGGGUGAUGACAUACAGGUCAUUCGGAGAGUAUUCAGACCCCUUGACUUUUUCAAAAUGUUGUUACGUUACAGCCUUAUUCUAAAAUUGAUUAAAUAUUUGUUUUCCCUCAUCAAUCUACACACAAUACCCAAUAAUGACAAAGUGAAAACAGGUUUUUCGAUUUUUUUGCAAAUUUAUUACAAAUACAAAAAAGAAAUAUCUUAUUUAUAUUAACAUUCAGAUAUGGGGUAGAGUACCAAAGCAAUUCUGCAGCAUUGAUGGUCCCCAAGAACACGCUGGCCUCCAUAAUUCUUAAAUGGAAGAAGUUUGGAACCACCAAGACUCUUCCUAGAGCUGGCCGCCCGGCCAAACUGAGCAAUCAGGGGAGAAGGCCCUUGGUCAGAGAGGUGUCCAAGUCACUCUGAUAGAGCUCCAGAGUUCCUCUGUGGAGAUGGGAGAACCUUCCAGAACGACAAUCAAUCAUCAUGCAGCCCUCCACCAAUCAGGCCUUUAUGACAGAGUGUCCAGACAGAAGCCACUCCUCAGGAAAAGGCACAUGACAGCCCGCUUGGAGUUUGCCAAAAGGCACCUAAAGGACUCAGACCAUGAGAAACAAGAUUCUCUGGUCUGAUGAAACCAAGAUUGAACUCUUUGGCUUGAAUGUCAACCGUCACGUCUGGAGGAAACAUGGCACCAUCCCUACGGUGAAGCAUGGUGGUGGCAGCAUCAUGCUGUGUGGAUGUUUUUUAGUGGCAGGGACUGGGAGACUAGUCAGGAUUGAGGGAAAGAUGAACAGAGCAAAGUACAGAGAGAUCCUUGAUGAAAACCUGCUCCAGAAUGUUCAGGACCUCAGACUGGGGCGAAGGAUCACCUUCCAACAGGACAAUGACCCUAAGCACACAGCCAAGACAACACAGAAGUGGCUUCGGGACAAGUCUCUGAAUGUCCUUGAGUGGUCCAGCCAGAGCCUGGAUUUAAACCUGAUCGAACAUCUCUGGGGAGACCUGAAAAUAGCUGUGCAGUGACGCUCCCCUUCCAAAUUGACAGAGCUUGAGAGGAUCUGCAGAGAAGAAUGGGAGAAACUCCCCAAAUACAGGUGUACCAAGCUUGUAGCGUCAUACCCAAUAAGACCCGAGGCUGUAAUCGCUGCCAAAGGUGCUUCAACAAAGUACUGAGUAAAGGGUCUGAAACUUAUGUAAAUGUGAUAUUAUUAUAAUUUUUUGAAUACAUUUGAAAAAGGUUAUAACAGUUUUUUGCUUUGUCGUUAUGGGGUACUGUGUGUAGAUUGAUGAGAGAAUUUUAUUUUUAGAAUGUAACAAAAUAUGUAAAAAGUCAAGGGGUCUGAAUACUCUCUGAAUGCACUGCACACGUUUGGAUGUGUGUGUGCGCUGUGUCCUUCAGUGUUCGUGCACGUGAAUAUGUGUGUUUGAGUGUGUGUGUGUGUGUGUGUGUGUGUGUGUGUGUGUGUGUGUGUGUGUGUGUGUGUGUGUGUGUGUGUGUGUGUGUGUGUGUGUGUGUGUGUGUGUGAGAGAGAGAGAACGCAUAUAUGCUGAGUAUGAAAAACAUUAAGGACACCUGCUCUUUCCAUGACAUAGACUGACCAGGCGAAUCCAGGUGAAAGCUAUGAUCCCUUAUUGAUGUCACAUAUUAAAUCCACUUCAAUCAGUGUAGAUGAAGGGGAGGAGACAGGUGUCACGGAUCCCUCUGGAACUUUCAUUGCGCACACCUGGCCCCUAUUCCCACUGAUUGUAGUUGUGUAAAUGUGCCCUUUGGUUUCCAUUGGGCUGUUCAAUUAUUGUUACAAUGUCCGUUAGUGCGUGUGAGUACUGUGCUGUGUGUUUUGGGCUUUCGUGCCCUUGUGGAUUGCGCAGAUGAUUAUGGGUCUUGUCCCGUGUGAUAAUCAUUCGCCUUUACACGGCACACCAUAAUUUGGGGCUUAAUAAAACAACUAUUACGCAUUCCUGUGCCUGUCUCCCGAAUCUCUUCAUACCAACGUGACAGAAUAAUCGACCAUUGAGGGAGACAGUGGGACUGGUCCUUCCGGCGCCGCCGCAACUGGGUCGUCCGAUGACGCAACUUCCAGCAGCCGCGGUAACCCUCCGGAACUUUCAUUGUGCACACCUGGCCCCUAUUCCCCCUGAUUGUAUUUGUAUAUAUGUGCCCUUUCUUCACCAUGGUGCUGUUGAUUAUUGUGUGCAGAUGAUUACGGGUCUCGUCCCGUGUGUUAAUCAUUGUGCAUAUGUUAUUUAUUCGAGGUACUCCUCGCUCUUUUGUUUUGGGUUUCUACCCUGUGCUUUACGUGUUUGUUUGGUCUUCGUCCUCGUGCCUUUACACCGUACGCCGUAAUUUGGGUUUAAUAAAAAAAACUAUUACGCA